rnacentral:ncRNA from 1 species
CAAAAGGUCUCUCUUGAGACUACCAUAACCUAAAGUUCAGUUUAGU